UACGUAGGGGGCAAGCGUUGUCCGGAUUUAUUGGGCGUAAAGAGCGUGUAGGCGGUUUGGUAGGUCCGUUGUGAAAACUCGAGGCUCAACCUCGAGACGCCGAUGGAAACCAUCAGACUAGAGUCCGGAAGAGGAGUGUGGAAUUCCCGGUGUAGCGGUGAAAUGCGCAGAUAUCGGGAAGAACACCCGUGGCGAAGGCGGCACUCUGGGACGGUACUGACGCUGAGACGCGAAAGCGUGGGGAGCGAACAGG
rnacentral:rRNA from 1 species